CAAUAGAUUCUAAUUUUCUGAGCUUCUCUCUCUAAAAAUUUCGAGCCCUAACUCUCUCUGCCUUCUCUCUAAAUUUCCAGCUCUUUGAACCUUUCAAUCUUGAGUUGGAGGGUGCUCAGACGUCCGAAGGCUUCCUUUUGAGCCGAUCGCAUUUUCGAUUGAACCGAUGGGGUUGAGGAAAUACCUCUGGAGCAAGAGUUGGAGGAGAAUGAUGCUGCUGCACAGUCUGCGUAGGAUUUAGAUAUCUAAACUCUUGGAUGUUAAAUAGUCAGAACUGUCUGAGUUUAAAACUCUAUAUUAUAUUUUGGAUGACUGUAAUUUCGUACUUAAUUGCAAGUCAUACUCUAACUGUUCUCUUUAUUUGGAUGUUGGAUGUUGACGCUUAUAUUAUAUAAUUGUGGUUAUUAUAUAUUUGGGAUGUCACAGUCUACAUAUAUGGAAGUUUUGCUGAA